UGGCUGAGUGGUAAAGCGCUUGGCUUCCGAACUGGAGGUCCAGGUUCAAAUCCUGG
rnacentral:tRNA from 1 species